GGGCAAAGUAUGGACUGGUGGAGUCGCCGGCACCGGACUGGGUCACUCAUUUCUUCUGUGAAUGGUGUGCCCUUUGUCAAGAGUAUAGAGAGCUUCAAAGAAGAGGCCUGGAUCCUGCCAUUGGUUGGCAGGGAAAUGUUAGAAGGCAAAGCAUGCAACCAUCUCAAGUCGCUAUGAUGCCUCCAAUGGACCAAAAAAUGAUGCCGUGAUUCUAUUCAUACUUUAUUUAUAAAUAUGGAUAUGAUUCUUUCCCAAAAUCGUUCAGAGUCAAAAAAUUAUAUCCAUACAGCAGCAGACCUUAAAUUUUUUUGGUAAAGGCUUAGCUGAGUUGAG
rnacentral:misc_RNA from 1 species